rnacentral:rRNA from 1 species
GACGGUAGCACAGAGGAGCUUGCUCCUUGGGUGACGAGUGGCGGACGGGUGAGUAAUGUCUGGGAAACUGCCUGAUGGAGGGGGAUAACUACUGGAAACGGUAGCUAAUACCGCAUAACGUCGCAAGACCAAAGAGGGGGACCUUCGGGCCUCUUGCCAUCAGAUGUGCCCAGAUGGGAUUAGCUAGUAGGUGGGGUAACGGCUCACCUAGGCGACGAUCCCUAGCUGGUCUGAGAGGAUGACCAGCCACACUGGAACUGAGACACGGUCCAGACUCCUACGGGAGGCAGCAGUGGGGAAUAUUGCACAAUGGGCGCAAGCCUGAUGCAGCCAUGCCGCGUGUAUGAAGAAGGCCUUCGGGUUGUAAAGUACUUUCAGCGGGGAGGAAGGCGAUACGGUUAAUAACCGUGUCGAUUGACGUUACCCGCAGAAGAAGCACCGGCUAACUCCGUGCCAGCAGCCGCGGUAAUACGGAGGGUGCAAGCGUUAAUCGGAAUUACUGGGCGUAAAGCGCACGCAGGCGGUCUGUCAAGUCGGAUGUGAAAUCCCCGGGCUCAACCUGGGAACUGCAUUCGAAACUGACAGGCUAGAGUCUUGUAGAGGGGGGUAGAAUUCCAGGUGUAGCGGUGAAAUGCGUAGAGAUCUGGAGGAAUACCGGUGGCGAAGGCGGCCCCCUGGACAAAGACUGACGCUCAGGUGCGAAAGCGUGGGGAGCAAACRGGAUUAGAUACCCUGGUAGUCCACGCUGUAAACGAUGUCGACUUGGAGGUUGUGCCCUUG